rnacentral:rRNA from 1 species
CCAGACUCCUACGGGAGGCAGCAGUGGGGAAUAUUGCACAAUGGGGGAAACCCUGAUGCAGCGACGCCGCGUGAGCGAUGAAGUAUUUCGGUAUGUAAGGCUCUAUCAGCAGGGAAGAAAAUGACGGUACCUGACUAAGAAGCCCCGGCUAACUACGUGCCAGCAGCCGCGGUAAUACGUAGGGGGCAAGCGUUAUCCGGAUUUACUGGGUGUAAAGGGAGCGUAGACGGCGGUGCAAGCCAGAUGUGAAAGCCCGGGGCUCAACCCCGGGACUGCAUUUGGAACUGUGCUGCUAGAGUGUCGGAGAGGCAGACGGAAUUCCUAGUGUAGCGGUGAAAUGCGUAGAUAUUAGGAGGAACACCAGUGGCGAAGGCGGCCUGCUGGACGACAACUGACGGUGAGGCGCGAAAGCGUGGGGAGCAAACAGGAUUAGAUACCCCGGUAAAC